UGCACGGAGGAGAUGCGCCCUCCGCCGCCCGGAGAGCCGGCUCCAGCCCCGCGGGCCCGGCCGCCGCCGCCGCGGGCUGUCGGCGGAGCGGUGAGGUUCUCCUGAGCCCGGAGCCCCCCGGAUGAGGCGUUGGAGUCGGUUUUGGGAGAGUGGCGGAGGGGCGGCCGCUGCCGUGAGCAGGCAGUGGGUGUCCUGCUGGUGGAGGUGACGCCUCUGGAGCCAGCUUUGGGACAUGGACCCCGGCAACGCCGCCAAAGUGCCCCUGGCUGCGGGGCGCCGGAGCAGGAGGGUCGCCCUCUGCCUUUUCCCUUGGGACCAGGCGAGCCAGAUUAGUGGAGGGGCAACUCGGUCCAGAGCGCACGUCGGAGACCCGUGGAGCUUUGGGGCCGCAGGUUUUGGAGCCCGGAUCUUUGCGGGGCACUGUUGACCUCCAGCGCCGCGGGCAGAGGUGGCUUUGGGCAGGGGCACCGUGCUCCCUUCUCCGCGUCAAACAAGCCGUGCUGAACAGAUCGCUCAGCUCUUGGCACCUUCCUGAGAGAUCAGACGGCAUCGCUGGGGGAGCCACAUCCUUUAGUGCUGCAAUUCAUUUCCAGAGCUCUGGUUCCCUCCCUGCUCAUCUUUCCAAGGUACGUGCCUCACAGCUCCCAGC